GAAGGCGGCCCCUGGACAAGACUGACGCUCAGGUGCGAAGCGUGGGGAGCAAACAGGAUAGAUACCUGGUAGUCACGCUGUAAACGAUGUCGAUUUGGAGGUUGUUCCCUGAGGAGUGGCUUCCGGAGCUAACGCGUUAAAUCGACCGCUGGGGAGUACGGCCGCAAGGUCAAAACUCAAAUGAAUUGACGGGGGCCCGCACAGCGGUGGAGCAUGUGGUUUAAUUCGAUGCAACGCGAAGAACCUUACCUACUCUUGACAUCCAGAGAAUUUAGCAGAGAUGCUUUAGUGCCUUCGGGAACUCUGAGACAGGUGCUGCAUGGCUGUCGUCAGCUCGUGUUGUGAAAUGUUGGGUUAAGUCCCGCAACGAGCGCAACCCUUAUCCUUUGUUGCCAGCACAUUAUGGUGGGAACUCAAAGGAGACUGCCGGUGAUAAACCGGAGGAAGGUGGGGAUGACGUCAAGUCAUCAUGGCCCUUACGAGUAGGGCUACACACGUGCUACAAUGGCGUAUACAAAGAGAAGCGACCUCGCGAGAGCAAGCGGAACUCAUAAAGUACGUCGUAGUCCGGAUUGGAGUCUGCAACUCGACUCCAUGAAGUCGGAAUCGCUAGUAAUCGUAGAUCAGAAUGCUACGGUGAAUACGUUCCCGGGCCUUGUACACACCGCCCGUCACACCAUGGGAGUGGGUUGCAAAAGAAGUAGGUAGCUUAACCUUCGGGAGGGCGCUUACCACUUUGUGAUUCAUGACUGGGGUGAAGUCGUAACAAGGUAACCA
rnacentral:rRNA from 1 species